UGUUAAAAAAUUUCAUCAAUAUUUAUUGUUAAAACUUAACGUCGCUGACAAAAUAAUCAAACAGUUACACAAUGCGUGCUAUGUGUACCUCAGAAGGAGUAAUUUUUAAUAGUAGAAUUUGAUGGAAUUUUUAAUA
rnacentral:pre_miRNA from 1 species